GUCUACGGCCAUGCCACUCUGAAUGUGCCCAAUCCUGACUGAUCUUGGAAGCUAAGCAGGGUUGGGCCUGGUUAGUACUUGAAUGGGAGACCGCCUAGGAAUACUGGGUGCUGCAAGGCA
ensembl:rRNA 5S_rRNA 5S ribosomal RNA